ACUGGAGGGUGGGGCUAAAGACAACAGCUAUACCUCUCCCCUCCCCCAUCAAUUCAAGCUAAACUGUCCUCUUGGCCAGGCCUCAGCCGCAGAAAGAAGCUCACUAAGCUGGACAUGAAACAUCUGGGGAAAAGGAGGAAGAAGUGGGUGGGUGGCUGGCUGAAAAAUCAUGACUUACCCAAGAUCACACAGCCGGCCGGCAAAGCUGGCCUGAGACCAGGUAUCCAGGCUGAUGGAUAUCAGGCAAACUUGAAUGGCUUCUGUUCCCUGGUCAGUGGGAAGCAGAAGGAAGUUAGGAGUUGGGGAGAAAGCAGGCACUAUAAAGGCUGGUGAAGGAGAUGGACUGCAGAUUCAGACAAACAAGCAGCGCUAAGCCUGGUCUCAACUGGAGUCAUUGCCCCUUUGACAUCUCAGCUGGGGUCACAGCUCCAGCCAGGAUGGCAGAAUUCACAACUGCUCCGAGGACAGAGAAGAACAUGGAGGACGGCAGGCCCAGCGAGGCUCAGUGAGCUGGCUACAGUCGCCCAGCACAGGGAGCAGAAAAGCAAUGGGAAGACAAGGGUUCCUCCAGACAGGGGAAAUGAGGCUGGAGAGGGGCAGCCUCUCCCCAGGCCCCCAUCCCAGGUGCACAGGCCCCUGUGCCAUGGCAGCUAAAACCUGAGGUUCUGGCCCAUCUUCCCGGCAAGGCUUUAAGAAUACAUGAAAUUCUCAAUCUCCCUGGC